rnacentral:other from 1 species
AGGCCCCUGUUGUGAGCGUGAUCGGUCGGCGAGUUAGAGCCAACAGUUAGAGAAUGGGGUCCCUCCCUGGCAGCGGUGAGCAUCCCCACGCACCUCGGGGAAGCCUGAAGCGGCCAAACAGGGAGCCCACCUGGUGAAAGCCAGGUUCAACUCAAUGGCCGACACGGCACAGGCAGGGGCACU